rnacentral:rRNA from 1 species
GACGAACCGUGCGAACGUUGUUCGGAAUCACUGGGCUUAAAGGGCGCGUAGGCGGGCUAUCAAGUCCGGGGUGAAAUCCUCCAGCUCAACUGGAGAACGGCCUCGGAUACUGAUGGUCUCGAGGGGGAUAGGGGCACACGGAACUGUGGGUGGAGCGGUGAAAUGACGUUGAUAUCCAUAGGAACUCCGGUGGCGAAAGCGGUGUGCUGGAUCCCUUC